rnacentral:rRNA from 1 species
AGAGUUUGAUCAUGGCUCAGAGUGAACGCUGGCGGCAGGCCUAAUACAUGCAAGUCGAACGGCAGCACAGCAGAGCUUGCUCUGUGGGUGGCGAGUGGCGGACGGGUGAGGAAUACGUGGGAAUCUGCCCAGUCGUGGGGGAUAACGUAGGGAAACUUACGCUAAUACCGCAUGCGCCCUUCGGGGGAAAGCCGGGGACCUUCGGGCCUGGCGCGAUUGGAUGAGCCCACGUCGGAUUAGCUAGUUGGCGGGGUAAAGGCCCACCAAGGCGACGAUCCGUAGCUGGUCUGAGAGGAUGAUCAGCCACACUGGAACUGAGACACGGUCCAGACUCCUACGGGAGGCAGCAGUAGGGAAUAUUGGACAAUGGGCGCAAGCCUGAUCCAGCCAUGCCGCGUGAGUGAAGAGGGCCCUCGGGUUGUAAAGCUCUUUUGUCCGGAAAGAAAAGCGCCGGGUUAAUACCCUGGUGUCCUGACGGUACCGGAAGAAUAAGCACCGGCUAACUUCGUG